UCCUGGUUAGCUCAGUUGGUAAAGCGCUCUACUGUAAAUGAAGAGGUCCCUGGUUCGAAAUCAGGACCAUGCG
rnacentral:tRNA from 1 species